rnacentral:rRNA from 1 species
GACGAACGCUGGCGGCGUGCUUAACACAUGCAAGUCGAACGGAAAGGCCCUGCUUUUGUGGGGUGCUCGAGUGGCGAACGGGUGAGUAACACGUGAGUAACCUGCCCUUGACUUUGGGAUAACUUCAGGAAACUGGGGCUAAUACCGGAUAGGAGCUCCUGCUGCAUGGUGGGGGUUGGAAAGUUUCGGCGGUUGGGGAUGGACUCGCGGCUUAUCAGCUUGUUGGUGGGGUAGUGGCUUACCAAGGCUUUGACGGGUAGCCGGCCUGAGAGGGUGACCGGCCACAUUGGGACUGAGAUACGGCCCAGACUCCUACGGGAGGCAGCAGUGGGGAAUAUUGCACAAUGGGCGGAAGCCUGAUGCAGCAACGCCGCGUGCGGGAUGACGGCCUUCGGGUUGUAAACCGCUUUCGCCUGUGACGAAGCGUGAGUGACGGUAAUGGGUAAAGAAGCACCGGCUAACUACGUGCCAGCAGCCGCGGUGAUACGUAGGGUGCGAGCGUUGUCCGGAUUUAUUGGGCGUAAAGGGCUCGUAGGUGGUUGAUCGCGUCGGAAGUGUAAUCUUGGGGCUUAACCCUGAGCGUGCUUUCGAUACGGGUUGACUUGAGGAAGGUAGGGGAGAAUGGAAUUCCUGGUGGAGCGGGGGAAUGCGCAGAUAUCAGGAGGAACACCAGUGGCGAAGGCGGUUCUCUGGGCCUUUCCUGACGCUGAGGAGCGAAAGCGUGGGGAGCGAACAGGCUUAGAUAUCCUGGUAGUCCACGCUGUAAACGGUGGGUACUAGGUGUGGGGUCCAUUCCACGGGUUCCGUGCCGUAGCUAACGCUUUAAGUACCCCGCCUGGGGAGUACGGCCGCAAGGCUAAAACUCAAAGGAAUUGACGGGGCCCCGCACAAGCGGCGGAGCAUGCGGAUUAAUUCGAUGCAACGCGUAGAACCUUACCUGGGUUUGACAUGGAUCGGGAGUGCUCAGAGAUGGGUGUGCCUCUUUUGGGGUCGGUUCACAGGUGGUGCAUGCCUGUCGUCAGCUCGUGUCGUGAGAUGUUGGGUUAAGUCCCGCAACGAGCGCAACCCUUGUUCACUGUUGCCAGCACGUUAUGGUGGGGACUCAGUGGAGACCGCCGGGGUCAACUCGGAGGAAGGUGGGGAUGACGUCAAGUCCUCAUGCCCCUUAUGUCCAGGGCUUCACGCAUGCUACAAUGGCUGGUACAGAGAGUGGCGAGCCUGUGAGGGUGAGCGAAUCUCGGAAAGCCGGUCUCAGUUCGGAUUGGGGUCUGCAACUCGACCUCAUGAAGUCGGAGUCGCUAGUAAUCGCAGAUCAGCAACGCUGCGGUGAAUACGUUCCCGGGGCU